AAGACCUUGCGCUUUUGGAGCGGCCGAUGUCUGAUUAGCUUGUUGGUAAGGUAAAAGCUUACCAAGGCUUCGAUCAGUAGCUGGUCUGAGAGGACGGCCAGCCACACUGGGACUGAGACACGGCCCAGACUCCUACGGGAGGCAGCAGUGGGGAAUUUUGGACAAUGGGGGCAACCCUGAUCCAGCCAUGCCGCGUGAGUGAAGAAGGCCUUCGGGUUGUAAAGCUCUUUCAGCCGGAACGAAACGGUUACGGUUAAUACCUGUGAUUACUGACGGUACCGGAAGAAGAAGCACCGGCUAACUACGUGCCAGCAGCCGCGGUAAUACGUAGGGUGCGAGCGUUAAUCGGAAUUACUGGGCGUAAAGCGUGCGCAGGUGGUUUUGUAAGUCAGAUGUGAAAGCCCCGGGCUCAACCUGGGAACU
rnacentral:rRNA from 1 species